AAUCGAAUGCACAAGCAGGCUGAUCUUCUUUCCAGAAAAUUAGCAAGGUGCUGGAAGCAGUUUCUUAGGUCUAGGAGAACUACCUUAGACUUGGCAAAAAAUUAUGAUGACUUGAAAAUCCAUGGGAGUUCUGUCAAGUCAAUGCCAUUUGAGCAGCUUGCUCGAUUGAUUGAAUCUGCUACUACCCUACAGACUGUGAAUGCUCUACUCGAUCGACUAGAAAGCCGCCUUGCAGUUUUCAGAGUUGCUGGUAGCAAUCAUUCAACCAGUUUGGAUAACAUCGAUCACCUCCUAAAAAGAGUAGCCACCCCAAGGAAACGGACUACUCCCAGGAAUUCUAUGCGGAGCAGAGAGGCAAAGAAAGUAGGUGCUNGUUAGGGAGGCAGCCAGAAGUCCUGCUAAAUCAUCAAGGUAUCCUGUGAGAGUAGUUCUUUGUGCCUACAUGAUUCUGGGUCAUCCAGAUGCUGUUUUCAGUAGUCAAGGGGACAGUGAGAUUGCUCUAGCUAAGUCUGCUGAAGAAUUUGUUCUACAGUUUGAGUUGCUGAUAAGAAUUAUACUAGAUGGCCCCAUACAGAGUUCUGAUGAGGAAUCUGA
rnacentral:misc_RNA from 1 species